CGGGGCAGGUCGUGGCAGUGCCCGGGAGGGGUCGGGGGCGGCUCCUCUGCAUCGAGAAGGCGGCACGAGCCGGCGCCCGCUAUUUUCCAACCAUCAGAAAUGGAAGAAGAUCCCUAAUUCGUUUGAAGUCCAAAGUGAUUAUCUUGGCGUUUUGAAGAAGGUGUUUUUUGUUUAUUUUUGAAAUAUAACAGCCCCCGUUGUCUUUCGUUCUCUCUCCCCUCACUGGGGCUUGAUUGGAAUUGCAUCGCUGUGGGUGUGUGCCUGUGGGUUUUUCCUCCAAUGUGGACUUCAGAGGAUUUAUCCCUCCUUUGUAAUUUGAAAUGAAAUAAUGGCGACACGUUGGACUGGUCUACCUGAGGGAGAUGGAGACGGGAAUCAGCCUUGUGGAACACCUAUCCAGGAGGUAA